rnacentral:rRNA from 1 species
ACGAACGCUGGCGGCAGGCUUAACACAUGCAAGUCGAACGAGGGUAGCAAUACCUAGUGGCGCACGGGGUGCGUAACACGUAGCCAAUCUGCCCUGGAGUGGGGAAUAACUAUCCGAAAGGGUAGCUAAUACCGCAUAUUGACGAGAGGUGGCAUCAUCUUUCGUUGAAAGCUAUAUGCGCUCCAGGAUGAGGCUGCGGCGGAUUAGGUAGUUGGCGGGGUAACGGCCCACCAAGCCGACGAUCCGUAGCUGGUCUGAGAGGAUGAUCAGCCACACUGGCACUGAGACACGGGCCCAGACUCCUACGGGAGGCAGCAGUGAGGAAUAUUGCACAAUGGGGGAAACCCUGAUGCAGCCAUGCCGCGUGGAGGAUGACACCCCUCUGGGGCGUAAACUCCUUUUGUGAGAGAAGAAACCGCGUGGUCGCCACGUCUGACGGUAUCUCACGAAUAAGCACCGGCUAACUCCGUGCCAGCAGCCGCGGUAAUACGGAGGGUGCAAGCGUUGUCCGGAUUCAUUGGGUGUAAAGGGUGCGUAGGCGGGACGGUAAGUCCGAGGUGAAAGGCCCGCAGCUUAACUGCGGAACUGCCUUGGAUACUGCCGACCUUGAGUCCUGGAGAGGUGGCUGGAAUUCCUGGUGUAUCGGUUGAAAUGCGUAGAUAUCAGGAGGAACACCGGGAGGUGUAGACGGGUCACUGGACAGGUACUGACGCUGAGGCACGAAAAGCGUGGGGGAGCGAACAGGAUUAGAUACCCUGGUAGUCCACGCCGUAAACUAUGAAUGCUCGGUGUUACCUCCUUUGGGGGUAGUGCCUAAGCUAACGCGUUAAGCAUUCCACCUGGGGAGUACGUUCGCAAGAAUGAAACUCAAAGGAAUUGACGGGGGCCCGCACAAGCGGUGGAGCAUUGUGGAUUAAUUCGAUGCAACGCGAAGAACCUUACCCAGGCCCGAAACGCUACCGGACAGUCCCUGAAAGGGGAUCUUCUUCGGACUGGUAGCGAGGUGCUGCAUGGCUGUCGUCAGUUCGUGUCGUGAGGUGUUGGGUUAAGUCCCGCAACGAACGCAACCCUUGUCGUUAGUUACCAGCGGGUUAUGCCGGGGACUCUAACGAAACUGCCUGCGCAAGCAGUGAGGAAGGUGGGGGAUGACGUCAAGUCAUCAUGGCCCUUACGCCUGGGGCCCUCACACGUGCUACAAUGGAUGGUACAGAGGGCUGCUACUCCGCGAGGAGAUGCCAAUCCCUAAAGCCAUUCUCAGUUCGGAUCGCAGUCUGCAACUCGACUGCGUGAAGCUGGAAUCGCUAGUAAUCGCGUAUCAGCUACGACGCGGUGAAUACGUUCCCGGGCCUUGUACACACCGCCCGUCAAGCCAUGGAAGCCUGGAGCGCCCGAAGUCCGUGACCCGACUCGCAAGAGAGGGAGCGGCCGAAGGCGCGCCCGGUAACUGGGGCU